AAAGGAAUAGACGGGGGCCCGCACAAGCGGUGGAGCAUGUGGUUUAAUUCGACGCAACGCGAAGAACCUUACCGGGAUUUGACAUCCCCUGCUCACGCAGGAGACUGCGUUUUUCAUCUUCGGAUGAACAGGGAGACAGGUGGUGCAUGGUUGUCGUCAGCUCGUGUCGUGAGAUGUUGGGUUAAGUCCCGCAACGAGCGCAACCCUUAUUCUUAGUUGCCAGCAUUUCGGAUGGGUACUUUAAGAAGACUGCCGGUGAUAAACCGGAGGAAGGUGGGGAUGACGUCAAAUCAUCAUGCCCUUUAUGUCCCGGGCUACACACGUGCUACAAUGGCCUGUACAACGGGUAGCGAAAUCGCAAGAUGGAGCCAAUCCCCUAAAGCAGGUCUCAGUUCGGAUUGCAGGCUGCAACUCGCCUGCAUGAAGCAGGAAUCGCUAGUAAUCGCGGAUCAGCAUGCCGCGGUGAAUACGUUCCCGGGCCUUGUACACACCGCCCGU
rnacentral:rRNA from 1 species